CAUUGUGUAGUUUCUAAAGUUUACAAAACAUUCAAAGAUGAUCAGUGUUUCUAAGUUUACCACAUGAAUACAAUUGAAAAAUCUAAGGCAUGAUUUCGAGAGGAAAAGAAAGGUCAUAAGGUACUUCCAUAAUUAUCUACUGCUGAUGCUUACCUUCCAAAACUUUAUCGUUUUGUCAUUUGUGGAUAGAAGAUACAAUGCACCAUUUUCCUGCUGAGAGCAGCAGCAGUGCCAAAAAACUUUAUCUUCAGGAAGCAAAAAUUUUAGAACUAAAAAUUUCCAUAUCCAAAUUCAGUAGCUGAAAACCUUUAACGUUAGCUAUGAUACAUUCAAAUGAAUAUAUGUGCAGGACCUGUUAUUUGAUAUCGAAUUUAUAUGGUAAUCAUGUGCAUGAGCAUAUACUCUUCGGCAACUUGUGGCAAGACUUGUUUCUUGGCUUGUAACCUGUUUACAGUUUAUACUGAGUCAAUGUAACAAAUUGUGAAAAGAAAAAAUGGUUACAUAGACGGGAAAUAUUUUAGAAUCAACUAAAAUACAAUUUUCAGCUACACAAUAUCCAGGAAUCAGCUCAAUAGUUCUAAAUAACUACAAUAUGGUUUUGCAAGGUGCAUAAAUGAAACUGAGUUAAGUACAACUACCACAGGCAGGCGAAGCAAAGGAAGCCUGCCAGGUUUUAGAGCAUUGCCAUUUGAGAGAGAUGGGCUCAGAUAUCCCACGCCACCAGGACUACCAUUUGCAGGAGCAGCUGAACGGUCCAAAUUCAUCUCAGAUAGCUUUUUUACCUUCUUUUCUUGGACCUACAUAUCAAAAAGUAAUAUUAAACUAACAAAAGAUUAAUUACAUACAACAAUAUUUCAAUGUCUGGUGCAUCUUGCAUUCUUAUGUGCACACAAGGAACUAAAAACAAAUAGGGUAUGUGAAGCACAGUUCAUCAUUCCUUGGGAAGAGAUGGACAACAUCAGAUACUUCAAGAAAUAUCAAGUAGCACAUGAACUGAACAUGCAUUGUGUAGUUUCUAAAGUUUACAAAACAUUCAAAGAUGAUCAGUGUUUCUAAGUUUACCACAUGAAUACAAUUGAAAAAUCUAAGGCAUGAUUUCGAGAGGAAAAGAAAGGUCAUAAGGUACUUCCAUAAUUAUCUACUGCUGAUGCUUACCUUCCAAAACUUUAUCGUUUUGUCAUUUGUGGAUAGAAGAUACAAUGCACCAUUUGCUGCUUGACACCAUUUUAUUUGGUUAAUCUUCUCUUCAAUUUCCAAGCUCUUAAGAUAAUCAAACUGAUUCCAUAACAACAUCACUUUAUCAAAUUUCAAGUAAUUCAGAAGACAAAUAAUACCGCUUAACAAUGUUUGUGAGAAUAUACCUCUGGUUCGUGGCUUUGAAACUCAGUU
rnacentral:lncRNA from 1 species